ACGGGGGGUGCAAGCGUUGUUCGGAAUUAUUGGGCGUAAAGAGCGUGUAGGCGGCCUGAUAAGUCAGAUGUGAAAGCCCUAGGCUCAACCUAGGAAGUGCAUUUGAAACUGUCAGGCUUGAGGAGGGGAGAGGGAAGUGGAAUUCCUGGUGUAGAGGUGAAAUUCGUAGAUAUCGGGAGGAACGCCGGUGGCGAAGGCGGCUUCCUGGCCCGAUACUGACGCUGAGGCGCGAGAGCGUGGGUAGCAAACAG
rnacentral:rRNA from 1 species